AUUGAACGCUGGCGGCAGGCCUAACACAUGCAAGUCGAGCGGAACGGCGGACGGGCGAGUAAGGCCUAGGAAUCUGCCUGGUAGUGGGGGAGAGAGUACGAAAACGGGCGCUAAUACCGCAUACUAUCAGAUGAGCCUCGGUCGGUUUAGCUAGUUGGUGGGGUAAAGGCCUACCAAGGCGACGAUCCGUAACUGGUCUGAGCGGAUGAUCAGUCACACUGGAACUGAGACACUGUCCAUACUCCUACGGGAGGCAGCAGUGGGGAAUAUUGGACAAUGGGCGAAAGCCUGAUCCAGCCAUGCCGCGUGUGUGAAGAAGGUCUUCGGAUUGUAAAGCACUUUAAGUUGGGAGGCGUUACCAACAGAAUAAGCACCGGCUAACUUCGUGCCAGCAGCCGCGGUAAUAC
rnacentral:rRNA from 1 species